GGGGAAUUAGGACAAGGAGAUUUGAGAUUUGAUUUCAUGGCGUCGAUUAUGUAUUGCAUUGUCCAGAAGGUGUUUGGUCCUGUUGCGCAUCCUAAAUCGGCAAGACGAAUCGUGUUCGACGAUGAAGAAGAAGAAGAAAUUAGACCAUCUGAUCGGUACUUUAGACAUGCAACUUAAGAAGGUUGAGGCAGGGGUUGUGUGCCCUUGCAACUAUUCCAUUAGGAUCAAAAGUAGUAAACUUGUGAGAGCUUAGAGGAAGGGAGAUUGAUGACUCAAGUACGUCGACAAUAGAUUCUUUAAAAGUAGGAAUUGUAGUUUUCAAAGUUGCUUGAGCAGAUACUGAAUCAAGCAUGAUUCUAGAAGUUCCCAUGAGCGUGGAUGGAGAAAAAAUGACAAACAAGAAGAAAAAUGUGAAGAAUACAGUAUCAUGUUGAAGUACCAUUGAACAGAAAUGAAAAAUAGGAAUGCAAAAUAAUAAGUGAAGGUUAGUUCAAAGUUUUUUAGAUUUUUGGUGUUUAAGGGAUGUGUUAUAGUGUUGUGGGGAGGGAUUUAAAUAGAUAGUAGAGAGAGAGGAUGGUAUAAACAUAAAAAUAUAUAAAGUCCAUAUUAGUUUAUUUACUAAUAUAGAGAAUAGACUAAAUUAUGAAAGAAAAAAAUAA